UACGUAGGGUGCAAGCGUUGUCCGGAAUUAUUGGGCGUAAAGAGCUCGUAGGCGGUCUGUUGCGUCGGCUGUGAAAACCCGGGCUCAACUCCGGGCCUGCAGCCGAUACGGGCAGACUAGAGUUCGGCAGGGGAGACUGGAAUUCCUGGUGUAGCGGUGAAAUGCGCAGAUAUCAGGAGGAACACCGGUGGCGAAGGCGGGUCUCUGGGCCGAUACUGACGCUGAGGAGCGAAAGCGUGGGGAGCGAACAGGA
rnacentral:rRNA from 1 species